ACUAGGAUAUCUUAAGUUUAAAGUAUAAUUUUGAAGAAAUUAUUAUAGAUAAAUGUAUCUUCCUAGUG
rnacentral:tRNA from 1 species